GCAGCCACUCAGGCUUAGAAACACCAUGGGAAGAAAGAAGAAAGAGUAUAAGCACUAGAGGACCAUGCUGCUGGGAGAGAGCAUCUUCUAGACACUGCACAGAGGAUGCACCCAUGAAAUACUAACAAAACAGUUGCCUAAAUAAGAGGGAAAAAUAUGUACAAAAGAUGCAUUUGUCCAGGGUUACUGAGCAGAUCUAAAUGUUCCUUUUCUUGACAUCUUAUUAAUUCAUCCUUCUGGGGAGUCUUUCAGAGAAGAAAACGCACACUAAGAAAAAAAAUCCGCCAACUCUAAUAGACUAAACUCUCCUCAAGUUUGGCUCAAGGCUGAAUACCAGACCUUUCAAGUAUUUGCCAGUUGGCAAGAGUUUUAAUGACGGGCUUCCAGGAUCAAAGCAAACCCUUUAACUUUACUUAACAAUAAACUCCUUGGUGACCACUGACAUGUAAAAUACUUCCAUGGAGGAAACAGAAAUCUGAAAUUAGUUGACUAUUACCAAGUGUGCUAAGUGCGUGCUUCACUUUCCCUUAUAAACAAGCCAUCCAUUGAAGGAAAGAAGAACUUUUGCAAGCAUUUAUUCAUGGAUUCCUUGGCAAACAGCAUUUUCUGUUCUUUCCAUAAGGAAAUAUUACGAAGAAUUAGCAGUAAGAAGAGCUACUUUUCAGAUGAAGCAAGCCCCAGUAAAUAUAUUUACUUGCAAAAGCCAUGGCUGCCUUUUGGUUCCAAAAACAAAUGACUUUGAACAUGAGCAGAAGGCAUAACAAUAGAAAGUACAAAAUCCAUUGUCUAGUUCCCACUUUCCCUGCCCACUAGGGUGUUAUGGCAGAGGUCUAACUACCCAGUCUUCUUUGA